GAAUUGUGUCUCUCUGUGCAGAGAAUGUGAAUCUCACACACAUGCAAGCUCUGAAUCUGCGCUGACCCAGCAGGAGCACCAUGAAAACCACAUGAAGGCAAAGUGUCUCAGCAGGUGAUUGUGACUUCCAGAAAAACUGAAGGAGAAAGAUUGAAUUUGAUUUAUGCAUAAGUUGUGAUGCCUUAAAGACAAUCUUCUUCCAACUCUUCUGCCAUGGUCAGGAUACCUUCCACCAUCCCAGGUUGCUCCAAGCCCCAUCCAAGCUGGUCUGGAACACUGCCAGGGAUGGAGCAGCCACAGCUUCUCUGGGAAAUCUGUUGAGCAAGGGAUGGAUGUACCCUGGUGUGUCUCUUAUCUCUGAAACUGAAGAGAUGCUGUAGUACAACACCCCUGCACAGAGGAGCUUCAUCCACCAUCCUUCCAUGCUCUUCCCUUUCACACAGCAGUGGCUCUUCUGGGAGAAAAAUACUGAAUUUUAUGCCAGCUGAUCCCACUCCUUAUCCUGGGAUGCCAGAGCUCAUUGUGCAGAAGAUUUUUUUUGAGGAGGAAAGGAGUAAUUUUUAUCAGUUCACUAUAUGUCUAGUGAGUUUCUUAGAUGAACAGCAUGAAAAAUAUCAGUUGUUGUGUGAGAACACAGCAGGCUUCUUCUCACUGAUAAAUGCAGAUGACUCAGGGAAGAAGUGGUGGUACUAAACUACAGGAGUAAAUGCAAAUUAUGUGAUUUCUGGGAUGUUAGAAUCACAGCUAUCCUGUACCAGCUGACAGCAUCAAGAGUAGAGAACUGAAGAUUAUAAAUCAAUCCCUGAAUGUAUUAUUUUAUAUAUCUAACCAGCUUUUUAAACCUAA